UUAUUAACAAGAAUAGGAACUUCUCCUAUGGUCUCCAAGUCCCCAGGAUGGCAGGAUCUAUCGCCCAUCGGAGGCCACUGUGAGAGUUCAGAAAAAAGCCAAGCCUGCCCAGCAACGAUACGAUGGUUUAUGCAAGUUCUUAAUCCUCAGAACUUGGAACCAAAGCGAAAAGAAUUUGAUUCUAUGUACAGAUAAUGCCCCUUUUCAGGCCAUCUUUUGAGGACAAAUAUGUGGCCCCUUUCUAUAUUUCCUGAACUUAAAAUCAAUUGAUCAACUGUGACUAUUUAUAACUUGUUUUCUGUGCUGGCUAUUUAUCACAACAACCAUUAAUCAUGUUAGUUGGCAUCUGGUAAAAUACAUCAAAAUUAACUUAUGAAAAGUUUCCAAGAAAUCUUUAUUAUUUUUAGUCCAAGGAAGAAUAUUCUCUACAUGAUGCACUGCUUUAUUUAUUCCAUCAUUCUACUUGUAAGGUGCCUCACCUUUUCAAGUUGAAGUGUUCAAAAGAAUCAGGGCGGGUCUCAAUGAUCUGAAUUAAAGAAUGGAUGGCCUUGCAACCCUGCAAGAGAAUUCUAUAUCAUAGUAGUACUUGAUAUACAUAUCACAUCUAGUCUAUCCCUCUUUCCGAUGCCCCUGAUAACAGGUAUCAUCAAGAAAAUCCAUUGUGUUUUGUGUUAUCAUC